GACGAACGCUGGCGGCGUGCUUAACACAUGCAAGUCGAACGGAAAGGCCCUGCUUUUGUGGGGUGCUCGAGUGGCGAACGGGUGAGUAACACGUGAGUAACCUGCCCUUGACUUUGGGAUAACUUCAGGAAACUGGGGCUAAUACCGGAUAGGAGCUCCUGCUGCAUGGUGGGGGUUGGAAAGUUUCGGCGGUUGGGGAUGGACUCGCGGCUUAUCAGCUUGUUGGUGGGGUAGUGGCUUACCAAGGCUUUGACGGGUAGCAGGCCUGAGAGGGUGACCGGCCACAUUGGGACUGAGAUACGGCCCAGACUCCUACGGGAGGCAGCAGUGGGGAAUAUUGCGCAAUGGGCGGAAGCCUGAUGCAGCAACGCCGCGUGCGGGAUGACGGCCUUCGGGUUGUAAACCGCUUUCGCCUGUGACGAAGCGUGAGUGACGGUAAUGGGUAAAGAAGCACCGGCUAACUACGUG
rnacentral:rRNA from 1 species